CCUACGGGAGGCAGCAGUGAGGAAUAUUGGUCAAUGGGCGGGAGCCUGAACCAGCCAAGUCGCGUGAAGGAAGAAGGUACUUAGUAUUGUAAACUUCUUUUGUCGGGGAACAAAGGCGGAGACGCGUCUCCGGCUGAGUGUACCCGAAGAAAAAGCAUCGGCUAACUCCGUGCCAGCAGCCGCGGUAAUACGGAGGAUGCGAGCGUUAUCCGGAUUUACUGGGUGUAAAGGGAGCGUAGACGGCCAUGCAAGCCAGGGGUGAAAGCCGGGGGCCCAACCCCGGGACUGCCCUUGAAACUGGAUGGCUUGAGUGCGGGAGGGGUAGGCGGAAUUCGUGGUGUAGCGGUGAAAUGCGUAGAUAUCAGGAAGAACCCCGGCGGCGAAGGCGGCCUGCUGGACCGCGACUGACGUUGAGGCUCGAAAGCGUGGGUAGCGAACAGGAUUAGAUACCCGAGUAGUC
rnacentral:rRNA from 1 species